GAUGAAGAACGUAGCGAACUGCGAUAAGUAAUGUGAAUUGCAGAAUUCAGUGAAUCAUCGAGUCUUUGAACGCACAUUGCGCCCCCUGGCAUUCCGGGGGGCAUGCCUGUCCGAGCGUCAUUACAACCCUCAAGCUCAGCUUGGUGUUGGGCCCCGCCGCCCCGGCGGGCCCUAAAGUCAGUGGCGGUGCCGUCCGGCUCCGAGCGUAGUAAUUCUUCUCGCUCUGGAGGUCCGGUCGUGUGCUCGCCAGCAACCCCCAAUUUUUUUCAGGUUGACCUCGGAUCAGGUAGGGAUACCCGCUGAACUUAAGCAUAUCAAUAAGCGGAGGA
rnacentral:misc_RNA from 1 species